rnacentral:rRNA from 1 species
AUUGAACGCUGGCGGCAUGCCUUACACAUGCAGGUCGAACGGCAGCACGGGAGCUUGCUCCUGGUGGCGAGUGGCGAACGGGUGAGUAAUACAUCGGAACGUACCCAGUAGUGGGGGAUAACGCACCGAAAGGUGCGCUAAUACCGCAUACGACCUAAGGGUGAAAGCGGGGGACCGCAAGGCCUCGCGCUAUUGGAGCGGCCGACGUCUGAUUAGCUAGUUGGCGGGGUAAAGGCCCACCAAGGCGACGAUCAGUAGCUGGUCUGAGAGGACGAUCAGGCACACUGGGACUGAGAAACGGCCCAGACUCCUACGGGAGGCAGCAGUGGGGAAUUUUGGACAAUGGGGGCAACCCUGAUCCAGCAAUGCCGCGUGUGCGAAGAAGGCCUUCGGGUUGUAAAGCACUUUUGUCAGGGAAGAAAUCUUUCAGGCUAAUCCCCUUGGAAGGAUGACGGUACCUGAAGAAUAAGCACCGGCUAACUACGUGCCAGCCGCCGCAGUAA